AACGCACCUUGCGCUCCUUGGUAUUCCGAGGAGCAUGCCUGUUUGAGUGUCAUGAAAUUCUCAACCUUACUGGCUUUUGCAAGCUGGUCUGGCUUGGAUUGAUGGGAGGUUGCUGGCCUUUCUUUUAAAGUCAGCUCUUCUGAAAUGCAUUAGCAGAGUUCAUUGCUGUUUUAUCUUUGAUAUGAUAAUUAUCUACAUCAUUGAUGAUUCGGCUUUUUUCUUUGGAAAAGAUCGCUGCUUCCAACGGUCUCUUAGAGACAAUCUUCAACUUGACCAAUUUGACCUCAAAUCAGGUAGGACUACCCGCUGAACUUAA
rnacentral:misc_RNA from 1 species